rnacentral:lncRNA from 1 species
GUAGGGUAGAGAGUGAGUGGUAAAGGGAGAGAAAGAAAGAGAGGAAGAGAAGAGGGGACAAGAGAGGUAGGGUAGAGAGUGAGUGGUAAAGGGAGAGAAAGAAAGAGAGGAAGAGAAGAGGGGACAAGAGAGGUAGGGUAGAGAGUGAGUGGUAAAGGGAGAGAAAGAAAGAGAGGAAGAGAAGAGGGGACAAGAGAGGUAGGGUAGAGAGUGAGUGGUAAAGGGAGAGAAAGAAAGAGAGGAAGAGAAGAGGGGACAAGAGAGGUAGGGUAGGGAGUGAGUGGUAAAGGGAGAGAAAGAAAGAGAGGAAGAGAAGAGGGGACAAGAGAGGUAGGGUAGGGAGUGAGUGGUAAAGGGAGAGAAAGAAAGAGAGGAAGAGAAGAGGGGAUAAGAGAGGUAGGGUAGAGAGUGAGUGGUAAAGGGAGAGAAAGGGGGAAGAAGGGUUGGUGACCUGGGUAACCUGGUUCUUCUAUCGUCUUCUCUCACACUUUCUCCUUCCACUUCUUUUUACUUGUCCUCUCAUCUUCCUUUCUCCCCUCCUGUCCUCUCUUCUCUUUCCCCUCUAUUUCCCACUGUCCUCCACUCUCUCCUUUCUAUUCAUCUCAUCUUUCACCUCCUCUCUCCUCCUCCUCUCCUCCCUCUCCUUAACUCUUGCAGGUGUUAUCUCUCUCUUAAGCGGAGGCAAUUACCCGUCGACCUCAUAAAUAAUUAAUCUGAUAGGCUCGUUAAUUAUUAAUGUUAAUUGCUGAUUUAGGUUUCCUUCAACACAAAAAGACACAAGGGAGGGGAGAAUGCCAACAACUCUAAGGUCAAAGAGUCUCUCACACACACACACACACACACACACACACACACACACACACACACACACACACACACACACACACACACACACACACACACACACACACACACACACACACACACACACACACACACACACAGGGUUAGAUGAAGGUGACAGCGGUAGGGUUCAGGGUAAGGGUUAGAUGAAGUUGGUAGGGUUCAGGGUUGGGUAAGAUGAAGGUGGUAGGGUUGAGGGUUGGGGUUAGAUGAAGGUGGUAGGGUUCAGGGUUAGGGUAAGAUGAAGGUGGUAGGGUUCAAGGUUAGGGUUAGAUGAAGGUGACAGUGCUAGGGUUCAGGGUUAGGGUUAGAUGUAGGUGACAGUGGUAGGGUUCAGGGUAAGGGUUAGAUGAAGGUGGUAGGGUUCAGGGUUAGGGCUAGAUGAAGGUGCUAGGGUUCAGGGUUAGGGUUAGAUGAAGGUGCUAGGGUUCAGGGUAAGGGUUAGAUGAAGGUGGUAGGGUUCAGGGUUAGGGUUAGAUGAAGUUGGUAGGGUUCAGGGUUAGGGUUAGAUGAAGGUGGUAGUGUUCAGGGUAAGGGUUAGAUGAAGGUGCUAGGGUUCAGGGUUAGGGUAAGAUGAAGGUGGAAGGGUUCAGGGUUAGGGUUAGAUGAAGGUGCUAGGGUUCAGGGUUAGGGUUAGAUGAAGGUGGUAGGGUUCAGGGUUAGGGUUAGAUGAAGGUGCUAGGGUUUAGGGUAAGGGUUAGAUGAAGGUGGUAGGGUUCAGGGUUAGGGUUAGAUGAAGGUGCUAGGGUUCAGGGUUAGAUGAAGGUGCUAGGGUUCAGGGUUCAGGGUUAGAUGAAGGUGCUAGGGUUCAGGGUUAGGGUUAGAUGAAGGUGCUAGGGUUCAGGGUUAGGGUUAGAUGAAGGUGCUAGGGUUCAGGGUUAGAUGAAGGUGGUAGGGUUCAGGGUUAGGGUUAGAUGAAGGUGCUAGGGUUCAGGGUUAGAUGAAGGUGGUAGGGUUCAGGGUUAGGGUUAGAUGAAGGUGGUAGGGUUCAGGGUUAGAUGAAGGUGGUAGGGUUCAGGGUUAGGGUUAGAUGAAGGUGGUAGGGUUCAGGGUUAGAUGAAGGUGGUAGGGUUCAGGGUUAGGGUUAGAUGAAGGUGCUAGGGUUCAGGGUUAGAUGAAGGUGCUAGGGUUUAGGGUAAGGGUUAGAUGAAGGUGGUAGGGUUCAGGGUAAGGGUUAGAUGAAGGUGGUAGGGUUCAGGGUUAGGGUUAGAUGAAGGUGGUAGGGUUCAGGGUUAGGGUUAGAUGAAGGUGACAGUGGUAAGGUUAAGGCUGUUGGGGAUAUGAUGAGUUAAAAGCCUCUAGCCAAGAAUCCAUGACAGAUUAGCUCAUGUACUUAACGUUGAUCAAUAAACUUGAUAGUGUCGAAAUGAACAGUGUAAUGGAUGGGCGUGAGCUGGCACUAACAGAUAUCUGUGUGUGGUACAAUGACACGAUUCAGGGACAUUAGGAAAUGCUUAUUGUAAAAACCAAUGAAAACUGAAACCUUUUCAUAUGGAUAGCUGUUCCCUAGCCCAAAUCAUGAUGUCACUGCACUAAGUUUGGACUUUGCACUUGAAGCUUUAUCUUUUAUCUUUGAGUUGUACUUGAAGUUCUAUUGAGUCAAGACUCACCCACUGACGUGUCUGUUUGCCUGUCUGCCUGUCCGUCUGUCUUUCUAGAAAGCCUGGAGGAGAUUUUUCUUUAAUGGAUGAGGGAAGGGACCGUUCUCUCCAGAGGAGUUGCUUGGAUGGACAAGACGGAGACAUAAAGGUGAUUGGAGGGAUUAGAGAAAGAGAGCUUCUGAUUGGAGAAAGAGAUUCUGACCUCCCGC